rnacentral:rRNA from 1 species
AUUGCAGGCUGCAACCCGCCUGCAUGAAGUCGGAAUUGCUGUAAUCGCGGAUCAGCAUGCCGCGGUGAAUACGUUCCCGGGCCUUGUACACACCGCCCGUCACACCAUGGGAGCCGGUAAUACCCGAAGUCAGUAGUCUAACCUUUUAGGAGGGCGCUGCCGAAGGUAGGAUUGGCGACUGGGGUGAAGUCGUAACAAGGUACC